rnacentral:rRNA from 1 species
AUUGAACGCUGGCGGCAGGCUUAACACAUGCAAGUCGAGCGAGCGGCGGACGGGUGAGUAAUGUCUGGGACACUGCCUGAUGGAGGGGGAUAACUACUGGAAACGGUAGCUAAUACCGCAUACCAUCAGAUGUGCCCAGAUGGGAUUAGCUAGUAGGUGGGGUAAUGGCUCACCUAGGCGACGAUCCCUAGCUGGUCUGAGAGGAUGACCAGCCACACUGGAACUGAUACACGGUCCAGACUCCUACGGGAGGCAGCAGUGGGGAAUAUUGCACAAUGGGCGCAAGCCUGAUGCAGCCAUGCCGCGUGUGUGAAGAAGGCCUUCGGGUUGUAAAGCACUUUCAGCGAGGAGGCGGGACCGACAGAAGAAGCACCGGCUAACUCCGUGCCAGCAGCCGCGGUAAUAC